UCAUCUUGACCUCAAAUCAGGUAGGAAUACCCGCUGAACUUAAGCAUAUCAAUAAGCGGAGGAAAAGAAACCAACAGGGAUUGCCUCAGUAGCGGCGAGUGAAGCGGCAAAAGCUCCACUUUGAAAGCGUUUCGGCGCGUUGUAGUGUGGUUCAGUCUUUGAGUCUAGGAGAACUAAGUCCUUUGGAACAAGGCGCCAUAGAGGGUGAGAGCCCCGUGAGUUCUCUUUAUGGAUUCUUUAAGUCUGUACCGAAGAGUCGAGUUGUUUGGGAAUGCAGCUCUAAGUGGGUGGUAAAUUCCAUCUAAGGCUAAAUAUUGGCGAGAGACCGAUAGCGAACAAGUACAGUGAUGGAAAGAUGAAAAGCACUUUGAAAAGAGAGUGAAACAGUACGUGAAAUUGUUGAAAGGGAAGGGUAUUUGGCUCGACAUGGGUCCUGUGCACCGUUGCCUCUUGUAGGCGGCGCUCUGCUGGGGCCUGGGCCAGCAUCAGUUUUCUGGCGGGGAUAAGGCUCAGUGAACUACAAUGUAGGGAUCGGGGCGAUGCCCGCACGGGGGACUGAGGACUGCCGUUUUUGUAGGAUGCUGGCAUAACGGCCAAAUACCGCCCGUCUUGAAACAUGGACCAAGGAGUCUAACAUCUAUGCGAGUAUUUGGGAGUGAACCCCUCA
rnacentral:rRNA from 1 species